CUUAGAGGCUGGCUUCUCUGUGCACAUACCCGGUUUUGGCUGAUCUUAGAAGCGAAGCAGGUCGGUCCUCUUCAGCAGUUGAAUGGAAGGCCACCUGAGAAUAACAGGUGCUACUGAGA
rnacentral:rRNA from 1 species